GUAGCGGUCACCGCAAGGUUUUCUGUCGGAUUCGACAGAACAGACUUCAGCGUUGUGCCUGGCACAGCGCAACCGGCACUGCCGGAUUUUGCUAACCCGCUGGUGAAGACACCAGC
rfam:Pseudomonas taeanensis MS-3 contig_06, whole genome shotgun sequence.